AGCGGAAACCAUCAUGCUGUUGUAGUUCUCGAUUAUCUCAAGAGUUAGAGAAACUCCUUCUCGGACAGCUGGAGGCGGAGAGAGAUCAAUCGCUACCGGUGGAGGGUAUCGUAGAAGCUUCUCCCCUCGGGUUUUAAGAAUGUCGAAGAAGGUUUUCUGUGCAGCAUCCUUAACCAUCCCAAUUGUAUUACAGAGAGCAGUGUCUCGGCCGAGUAAGUCUGAGAUCUGCAAGGUGAAGGGAACAACGCGAACUUUAGACUGCAUGAAAUAGAUAGUUAACUCCAUUCUUUGGUUACUAGAAGGCUUUGACACUUGAUAUGCUUUGCAAGUUACAUUUAUUCCAUUAAAUGGGUAUUACUAUAACUAAUUUAACGACUAUGAUUCUUGCCUCUUAGGUGUACUUAUUCUUUUAGUGCUAAGUGCUAACUAACUUUUUUUCUUUUGUAUUGUAUCAGGUUGACCUGCGAAGAGCAAAUAACUGUGAAAUAAUGCUUACGAAAAUAAAGAUUCCUCUACCAGAUAUGCUUGUAAGUUUUUGCUGUCAGUAUAUCCUCCGCUCAUUAUUUUAGCAUUGGAACAAUAAUGUAAGGUGGAUGUUUAGAGUUAACAUGUCUUUUUGUAACAUUUUACCUAGUUGAAUCUCUUUUAUAUCAUGUUUACGUGUAUACUAACCGAGAAUUUCAUAUCUAUUUCUUAUCUUAGAGCGCAGUUCUAGCCUUAGAUUCGUCAGUUCUGGACAUCGACCAGGUUGAAAAUCUCAUCAAAUUUUGUCCGACGAAGGAAGAAAUGGAAUUGUUGAGGGUAAAUCUUAAAGUUUAUUGUCAUACUUCUCUGUAGAGUACCAGGUUCAUAGGUUCUGUUUGGCUUCAAAACGCAAGUUUCUUUCAGCAAUUCCUUAAUGCCUAAAGUUAACUUGUUCUGUUUUUGUCUUCAGAAUUAUACCGGUGACAAAGAAAUGCUUGGAAAGUGUGAACAGGUUUGUUCCAGUUCUUGGAGCGUUGGAUGGUUACAUGUUUAUAAUCUGUGUUCUGACUCUUAACUUUGCAAAAUGUAUCAGUUUUUCAUGGAACUAAUGAAGGUUCCACGUAUAGAAGCAAAGUUACGAGUGUUUGGCUUUAAGAUUACCUUUGCUUCUCAGGUAUAACUAUUAAAACUUUCUGCAUUUGGUCUCUCCUGUCUUAGGCAUGUUGUGGUGAUCUUAUUUUUUUGCUCUUUUCAGGCGGAAGACUUAAAAAGCUGCCUGAAUACAAUAAACGAUGCUACUAAAGAGGUAUAGUGGAGAGUGAGAGCUUCUAAGUCAUGGAAAUAUAUCCCCAUCUUGAUAAUUAAGUAUUAUUAUUAUCAUGCAACAGGUGAAGGAGUCUGCAAAGUUGCGUCAGAUUAUGCAAACAAUUUUAACACUAGGAAAUGCUCUGAAUCAGGGAACUGCAAGAGGUUUUACCUUUAUAUUCCUAUUGAUUUCAAGUUUUUUUUAAAUGAUUUUUCUUGUAGCAUCUGUUGGUAAUGUAGUGUGCCUUUUGUGUUGCAGGGUCUGCUGUGGGUUUCAAACUGGAUAGUCUUCUUAAAUUAUCUGAUACUCGUGCAAGAAAUAACAAAAUGACUUUGAUGCAUUACUUAUGCAAGGUAGAAGCACAUACCUUUCUUAUCUCAAUAAUACUUUUUAUUCAGUUAGUUUUUUUUUUAAAGAUGAACUUAGGUAAAUUUUCUUUUUUACUGUUUAGCUUGUUGGUGAAAAAAUGCCAGAGUUGCUGGAUUUUCCCAGUGACCUUGCUCACUUGGAAGCUGCAUCGAAGGUACCCUUGUUAUUCAUGCUUGCAUAUGAGCUUUCCGUCUUCAUAAUGCACUUGCCUUAAUAGUUUCUAAAAAUUGCAGAUUGAUUUCAAAACGUUGGCUGAAGAAAUGCAGGCGGCAGCUAAAGGCCUUGAAAAGGUUGAUCACGAACUCAUGGCUUCAGGAAACGAUGGUGCAAUAUCUCUGGGCUUCCGAAAGGUGAGCUACAUGUUAAAAGUUGUUCUUAGUGUUGCUCAUAUGGGUUUCUUGGUUAAUUCAUAGGCUGUGAUAAGAACCAGAAGGUAUUCGUAGCUUCUAAAUGAGAUCACUUCAUGUUUUCAGGUUUUGAAGGAGUUUCUUGCUACCGCUGAAGCAGAAGUGAGGUUGCUUGCUUCCUUAUAUACAGAAUCGGUGAGUUACUUGUACUCUUUGAGGACAUGCAGUUCGAAACUCAUGUUCCAGUCCUAAUAUUGAUUUGUUAUUUUGCAGGGAAGAAAUGCAGAUUCCUUGUGCCACUACUUUGGUGAGGAUCCAAAUAGAUGUCCUUUCGAACAAGGUACAUGCACCAAGUCUAUUCUUAUAGAUUGGUUAAAGCCAUUAUGUGUUAAAUGCAACUACUCAUUUCUAUUCUGACCAUUGUUCCUAUCUGCAGUGACCAAGAUUCUGGCUCUUUUCAUGAAAACUUUCAUCAAAUCACGAGAGGAGAAUGAGAAACAAGCGGAGGCUGACAAGAAGAAGCUGGAGAAAGAUACAAUGAAGGAGAAGCCAAUGUUAAAGAAAGACGGUGCUGAUCCAUAGACAUAGAACGUGAACAGAGGUCGGUCUUUAAAGAAAGACCGGAGUGUUUCAGAUCGAUGAAAGCUUUGUUUUAUAGUACACAAUGUUGCACAUAACAAUCAAGAAGCAGAGAUCUUUCGUAGAUCGUAGAAAAAGUAGACAGCUUCUAUGAUGUUUAUAUGGAAGUGUAAACUCUCUUUGAUCAUCACUUCGUUGAUGUAAAAUCAGAGGUUCUUGUCAAUGUUGUAGAAGAUAUUUGAAUUUUUAUAGAACCCACUCAAAGUUAUUAUCUUUAACUGUGCAGAUAAAAACAAUUUCUGUUCAGAGAGUAAUAAAUUUUUACAUUCUACUUGUCUGCAUAAACAUAAUGCAGAGAAAUAAUCAGAAGCAGUGACCUUGUUCCAACAAAUUCUACAUCAUUUGUUCUAACACAAGAUUUUUGCUUCUUCUUCUUUAAGCAUGUCUAGUUGUUUAUUUCAGUUUUGCAAAGAUGAGGACUCAAGACAGAGUAGGGGAAAGCUCAUCUAGAGGAGCAGAUGGUUAGUCGAGAGGUUUUGUUCUCUUCGUUACCAUCAAUUUCAAUCCUUCUGUGUUGUGUAUCCUAUUAGUCAUUUUCACCUGUCCAUCCACAAAACAAAUAAAGAACUAUUCGUUGAUGAUUUUUUUGGUUUGCAUGUGAAGUCUUAUCUUAAUUCAGUUUUGAAAUCAUUGAUCUGUAUUGAGAGAAAAUAGGAAUGGUGGUAGCUGAUAAGACUACCGAAGGAGCUCCUGGUGCAGUCUGAAAGUUAAAUCUUCGAAUAAGCAUUUCAAUUGCCACCACCACAUUCUACAAAACAGAGAUUUAUGUUACUGUAAGACAUUGAAGCAGGUACUCUCAUAUGUAACAAGUAUUGAUUGAUGUCAAUUGUGUCUUUACCUCAAAAGAAGCAAACGUCUCGCUUAUGCAUUUCCCCGGCCCUCCACCAAACGGCAAGUAACUGGAGAAGCAAAGUUUACCCAUAUAAUCAACUCUAAUGAAUCUGAGAAGUUGCAAGCAAAAGAUGGGCUUAUUACCUGACGUUUUGGUUUGUCUCAUUUUGGGUUUGGUCCAUCUAGAGGCCAUCUCUCAGGAUUGAACUCGUCUGCGUCAUCCCAAUGAAGAUAUCCUCUCUCAUAUUAGUUCCAAUCACAAUCUUUUCUCAAAACUAGUAAGUUGCAUUCUUGAAUGCAGACAAAUUAAAACCACAAUGUUGAAGUUUCUGUGACCUUUUUAUGGGAUACUCUCCAAGAAUGUCGUUCUCUAGAUGAUAUCCAUAACCACCGGUACUAAUCCGUCGUUCUCUGAUCCGUCUGUCUAGAGAACGAUGAUCUCAGGACUGGUGGUUGUGGAUAUCAUCUCAAUGACUGCACAACAUCAAAACAAAACAGGUGUCCCUAGACUUCUAUAGAAUGAUUUAAGAUACAGCAGACUCGAAAUUUCCAAACCUAAACAUUUUUUUAACUAUAGAAGAAGAAGAUGAGGACAUGUAAUGAAUGCCUUUAACCUAAUCCAUACCUAAAAUGAUUUUUAAUGUGAAAUACUUAUAAUAUUUUAUAUGGCUAUGAUUUCUAACAUUUUAAUAAUAUAAAUUAGAUUUUGAUACAACGCAUGUGUGUUUUCAAAUUAAAUAAAUGUUUGUUUAAUAAAUUUUUAUAUAAAAUAUUGUAUAGGUUUAGGCGCAUUUAACCGAAACCGAAAACUGAACUGUACCAAAAUGAAAAAAUCAAAACCAAAAUUAAAUUGAAUUUCAUAAAUAAUCGAACAAAUCAUAUAUUUCUGGAACCAAAAAAAUGAGACUGAACUGAAAACCAAAUGGAUACCUAAAAAUUUAAAAUACAAAAUAUAUACUUACAAAUAUUAAUUAUAUUCAAUUUUUAAAAUAAUCAAAUAUCGUAAAAAUACUAUUUAUGAACCGAAUUACCCCGAAAAAAACAAAUUACCCAAAUAUUUUUUAUUCAAAAUAUUAAAAUUAUCCAAACUAUCCGGUGUUUUUAUCCAAACAAUCCGAAUUACCCUAUAUUUAAACUAAAAAGGCCAAAUUGUCUGAUAUUUUUAUCUAUAAAUCUGUAAUUACCCGUAAAUCGAUGGGUGAUAUAAUAUGCAAUUCAAAUCGAAUUAAAUUUUUAUAUUUAGAGUACUCUAAUAUAUAUUCAUAGAUAUUUAGAUGAAUAGUGGAGAUAUUUUGGACACGAUGCUCCAAUUUUUCAAAAGUUAGCUAUACAAAUUUUUAAUGAAACUAAUUUUUUAUCUAGUUGUAAGCGUAGUGGAUCAAUAUUCGAAAGGAUGCAUACUAAAAAAAAAUAGAUUUAAGCAUUAAUUAUUCAUAUAUGUCUAUUACAAUUUACAUUUACAAAAAAUAUAAUUGUUUGUUUGUUUAGUUUAUUUUUGUUGUUGACAUGUUAUUAGAAUCCUUUUGAUGUUUUGUUUUUGGUUUAUUUUAAAUUUUAAAUUUUAAAUGUAAUUUCAUUAUUCACAUUAAACAUUUAAAUAUUUAUUAAUUUUAAUUUUUUUGUAUUAUUUUAUUAUGUCCAAUUCCUAAUUUGUUACAAUUUGGUAUGUAUAAUUGUAUUCUAAAACUAAUUAAAAUAUCGAUUCAGUGACCCAGUAACUCAUAAAAUAAUCCGAUUCAGUGUCUGGAUAGGGUUUCACUGGUUUUAGAUCAAAGCCAUCAGAGCUUCUCCAUGCAAUCGGUAUGAAAGUAUAUGAUACACUCUUGCGUGAAAUCAAGCUGAAUCCCAUCUUUACAUUUAAGAAAACAAUUAGGUGGACGAUGGCAGCACACAUGUGCACGCAGUAAUAUAAUUUUUAGUUUUGAUAUUUACAUUUUUAUGAUUAUAACAUUUGUAGUUCAACAUUUUUGAAUCUUUCUAAACAUUAUUACUUUUCAACCAUUAUAGAUUGAUGUUUAAAUUUAUCUUAUUAUGUAUGCAAUAAAUAAUUCAUGCAUGUUUAUAUGUAGUACUCAGAAAUUGAUAAACUUUAUAUGAAAAUACAACAUUUGAAGUCCGGUUUAUAAGUAUUGAUUUCGUAAGAUAACAAGAAAAAACCAGGAAAAAACAAAAAUAGUCGGGUAGAAGAAGUUUGCAUUUCAUAUACCGAGAAUGGUUCGGAUCUGAUCCAGUGGAUGUCGAGCGAGGGAUUUCGGAUCUGGAUACCCGUUUUGUUGAUCCGUUACGGCUCGGUAUAUAACUUCAUAAUCUUCAGCUAACGUUUUGGCCACCCGCACGCAAGCUUCGGACCUGAGUUUAGGGACUUGUAUCUGCUCGAACUCAGGAAGAGUGCCUUCGCUUCCCAAAACGAGGCCGAAGAAGGCCUUGAGGCAUUCUGACAGCACUGCGGGUGAUGUCUCCUGUCGUCCAGACAAAGCAAGUUCGGUUGUGGUGUAAGAGCGGAAGAUUUGCAUUUUGUCUGAAAGACCGCAUCUUUGGAGGAGCGUGUCGACUUCUUUCUGGACCAGGAGGUUUAUGUGGUUCUCGAUCAUUGAUCCGAUGUUAGUUACGUACUGUGACGCCACAUCGUGUCUUAGCAACGGUUGUUGGAUGGCGCAUAAACAGUUGAUGAGGAAUAUCUUCGAGGGUGUUUCAUUGUUCUGUAAGAACGAGAUAAAUCUUGAGAGAGGUCUUUUCGAGUUAAAAGGAAUGUAACGGAUUAUAUAUAUACCUGUGGUGGGGACGAGCUGCUAGAGAGUAGAGCAUCUACUGAUGUUAACUGGCUUGAGUCGGAACUUGUUCGGCUUCGUCUGGUUAAUUGGCCGCUCAUUUUCGAUUUGUGCGCCUCAGCUGCUUGCUCACACAUCUGUGGAGUUUCAGAAAAGUUCAAGAAUUUAUCUUCAAUGCACAAUCAUGGCUUUUGAUGGACAAAUGAUUUAUACCUUAAUGAUAGGGUCGAGCAGUGCAGAGAGGACGGGAUCAAAUGCCGGUUUCUCUCCUGAAGCGGAAACCAUCAUGCUAUUGUAGUUCUCGAUUAUCUCAAGAGUUAGAGAAACUCCUUCUCGGACAGCUGGAGGCGGAGAGAGAUCAAUAGCUACCGGUGGAGGGUAUCGUAGAAGCUUCUCCCCUCGGGUUUUAAGAAUGUCGAAGAAGGUUUUCUGUGCAGCAUCCUUAACCAUCCCAAUUGUAUUACAGAGAGCAGUGUCUCGCCCGAGUAAGUCUGAGAU
rnacentral:lncRNA from 1 species